rnacentral:rRNA from 1 species
AGCAGCCGCGGUAAUUCCGAGGACAAUAGCGAAUAUUAAUGUUGUUGCAGUUAAAAAGCUCGUAGUUGAAUUUCGGGAUCGAUAUUUCGGUCAUGCCGUUGGUAUGCACUGUUAUCAUUGAUUUCUCACCUUCUAAAGAACCGUGAUGCCAUUAAUUUGGUGUUACGGGGAAUUAGGACUGUUACCUUGAAAAAAUUAGAGUGUUUAAAGCAGGCUCACGCUUGAAUACAUUAGCAUGGAAUAAUGAAAUAGGACAUCCGAUUCUAUUUUGUUGGUUUCUAGGAUCGAUGUAAUGAUUAAUAGGGAUAGUUGGGGGCAUUAGGUAUUCAAUUGUCAGAGGUGAAAUUCUUGGAUUUAUUGAAUGACUAGACUACUGCGAAAGCAUUAUGCCAAGGAUGUUUUCAUUAUAUCAAGAACGAUAAGUUAGGGGAUCGAAGACGAUCAGAUACCGUACGUCAGUCUUAACCAUAAACUAUGCCGACUAGGGAUCGGAUGAUGUUAAUUUUUUAAUGACUCA